GCUCAGGAUGAACGCUGGCGGCGUGCCUAAUACAUGCAAGUCGAGCGAACGGACGAGAGUGCUUGCACUCUUUGAUGUUAGCGGCGGACGGGUGAGUAACACGUGGGUAACCUACCUAUAAGACUGGGAUAACUUCGGGAAACCGGAGCUAAUACCGGAUAAUAUUUUUCUCUGCAUGGAGGAAUAGUGAAAGACGGUUUUGCUGUCACUUAUAGAUGGACCCGCGGUGUAUUAGCUAGUUGGUGAGGUAACGGCUCACCAAGGCAACGAUACAUAGCCGACCUGAGAGGGUGAUCGGCCACACUGGGACUGAGACACGGCCCAGACUCCUACGGGAGGCAGCAGUAGGGAAUCUUCCGCAAUGGACGAAAGUCUGACGGAGCAACGCCGCGUGAGUGAAGAAGGUUUUCGGAUCGUAAAACUCUGUUGUAAGGGAAGAACAAGUACGUUAGUAACUGAACGUACCUGACGG
rnacentral:rRNA from 1 species